GUACUUGGCUCUGCAGUACAUAUACUAAAGUUGAAACGAUACAGAGAUCAGCAUGGCCCCUGCACAAGGAUGUCAGGCAGAUUAAUGAAGCAUUCCAUAUUAAA
rnacentral:snRNA from 1 species